GUGCUUAACACAUGCAAGUCGAACGCGCAACUCUCUGUAGCAAUACAGGGGGCGGGCGCGUGGCGAACGGGUGCGUAACACGUGGGUAACCUUCCUUCUUGUGGGGAAUAACCCGUCGAAAGACGGGCUAAUACCGCAUGACAUUCCGGUGGCUUCGGCUGCCGGCUUCAAAGCCGCAAGGCGCAGGAGGAGGGGCCCGCGGACGAUUAGCUAGUUGGCGAGGUAACGGCUCACCAAGGCUUUGAUCGUUAGCCGGACUGAGAGGUUGGCCGGCCACACUGGAACUGAGACACGGUCCAG
rnacentral:rRNA from 1 species